AAGCAUAUUAAUAAGCGGAGGAAAAGAAACUAACAAGGAUUCCCCUAGUAACGGCGAGUGAAGCGGGAAGAGCUCAAGCUUAAAAUCUCCGUGCAAGUUUUGUGCGGCGAAUUGUAGUCUAUAGAAGCGUGGUCAGCAUGGGCACUUGGGGCAAGUUCCUUGGAAGAGGACAGCAUGGAGGGUGAUACUCCCGUUCAUUUCUGAGUUGCUCGUGCGUACGACCCGUUUUCUUUGAGUCGCGUUGUUUGGGAAUGCAGCGCAAAGUAGGUGGUAAAUUCCAUCUAAAGCUAAAUAUUGGUGCGAGACCGAUAGCGAACAAGUACCGUGAGGGAAAGAUGAAAAGAACUUUGAAAAGAGAGUUAAAGAGUACCUGAAACUGCUGAAAGGGAACCGAAUCGUUUCCAGUGUCUAUAAUCCGUGGUAUAUUUCAUUGGCGAGUGUGUGCGUGCGUGUGCUGUGGCAGCGGCUUUUUUGGCUGCGCUCGGCGUGUGUGCUGUGUGUGCUUGCUGGUGCUCUGUGCUGCGGUGGGACGUCAAGGUCAGUUCGUAUGCUGCGGGAAAUGGCUGCCGAGGAGGUAGGGCUUACGCUUGCGUUUGUCUGUUAUAUCUUGGUGGACGAGUAGUCGCGGUUGGGACUGAGGUGCCUACAACGUGCUUUUGAGUGGGUUUGUGUCUCCGUGUACGCCGUGUGCGGAUAGCUUGCUAUGCGUGUGUGGUUGUGUGUGGAUUGAUGCGAGCUUUAACUUGUUGCCGUUCGGGACGUUGACGAAAUGGAGCGAUUCGACCCGUCUUGAAACACGGACCAAGGAGUCUAACAUGUGUGCAAGUGUUAGGGUGUGGAAACCCCAGCGCGAAAUGAAAGUGAAGGGCAGCGUAAGUUGUCUGAGGUAGGAAAUGCUGCGGGCUUCGGUCUGCGGUGUGGCACUAUCGACCGAUCAUGAACCUUCGUGGUGAAAGAUUUGAGUUUGAGCACAUAUGUUGGUACCCGAAAGAUGGUGAACUAUGCCUGAGUAGGGUGAAGCCAGGGGAAACUCUGGUGGAAGCUCGUAGCGAUUCUGACGUGCAAAUCGAUCGUCAAACUUGGGUAUAGGGGCGAAAGACUAAUCGAACCAUCUAGUAGCUGGUUCCCUCCGAAAUUUCCCUCAGGAUAGCAGCAACUUAUUUACGAUAGUUUUAUGAGGUAAAGCGAAUGAUUAGAGGAUUCGGGGAAGAAACUUCCUCGACCUAUUCUCAAACUUUAAAUCUGUAAGACCUGCAGGUUUCUUAAUUGAACUUGUGGAUGUGAAUAUCAAGUUGCUAGUGGGCCAUACGGGGUAAGCUCGUCUGGCG
rnacentral:rRNA from 1 species